GCUUACCUACGGGAGGCAGCGGUGAGGGAUAUUGGUCAAUGGGGGAAACCCUGAACCAGCAACGCCGCGUGAGGGAAGAAGGUUUUCGGAUUGUAAACUCCUUUUAUCAGGGACGAUAAUGACGGUACCUGAAGAAAAAGCUCCGGCUAACUACGUGCCAGCAGCCGCGGUAAUACGUAGGGAGCGAGCGUUGUCCGGAAUUACUGGGUGUAAAGGGAGCGUAGGCGGGACGGCAAGUCAGAUGUGAAAACUGAGGGCUCAACCUUCAGACUGCAUUUGAAACUGCUGUUCUUGAGUGAAGUAGA
rnacentral:rRNA from 1 species